rnacentral:rRNA from 1 species
ACGCUCGACACCUACGGGAGGCAGCAGUGAGGAAUAUUGGUCAAUGGGCGCUAGCCUGAACCAGCCAAGUAGCGUGAAGGAUGAAGGCUCUAUGGGUCGUAAACUUCUUUUAUAUAAGAAUAAAGUGCAGUAUGUAUACUGUUUUGUAUGUAUUAUAUGAAUAAGGAUCGGCUAACUCCGUGGCAGCAGCCGCGGUAAUCUGAGCGGGCUGGCAAGGC